GUGGCCGCCGCUGCGUUCCUCGCAGGGCGCGGCUCCCUGGGCUGCUGCAGGAAACUCAGAUCAGCCUGGAUUGACACACUUCAAUCAGCAGGAACAAGUAGCUGUGAGUGGAGCCACAGAAGCCGAGAAAGCAAGGUUCUGUGCAGAGGACCCCGUUCAAGCAGGCUAUAUCCAGGUGGGAGACAAUCUUGAGGUUCGCUGUCCUGUGGGCACCCAGUUGCUUCACUGGCACCCAUUGGAACGGUCAUGUCUCCCUGCUUUCCUGACCAUCUUUGCAACGCUUCCCAACCCAGAGCCAGCAGGAUGUUUUUCUGAGUCCUGAUUCCAUGCAAUGACCUGUCGCCCAUUCUCUACCAACACACAGCAUCUCGGUUUCUCUGUGUGUGUCUGUGUUCACAGAAAAUCUCAAACUCAGGUGGUGUCACUGUGCCAGCUCUGUUCUGCUUCCAAAAUAAUUUUAGAUAUUCUUAAAACAUCUCUCAAAAUUGCAUUUCUAUAAAAACUUUACCAUCACCUUGACGAACUGGACAGAAAAACUGCCUGGAAUUUUGAUUGGGAGAGUGAUGGCGCUUCAGAUGAAUUUAUAGAGAAAAGAAGAAAACUGAUGACUGUUUCAAGCAACAUGAACGUCAGACCACUCUGUUUAGACCAACCUUAAUUUCAUUUAUUUUUGUUUAUAGUGCACAUAUACAUAUGCAAAAAUAUCACAUGUGGAGGUCAGAGGACAAGUUGUUUUAUUAGGGAUGAGAGAGAGAAGUGGAGAGCUAUAGUUUUAAAAAAUCUAUUGAAAAGUUCAACCUCACUGGUAAAGCCAGAAAUUUGAAGUGAGCGAGCCUAGCACUGGUGGGUUUUGACAUUACUAAGUUGAUAAGUUUGCUCUAGAAACAACAUACAAAUUUCCUUAGCAAUAUAAAGCUAUAUGUAUAUAUAUGUAUUAUAAUACAGAUUAUAUAUAUAUAUAUGUGUAUAUGUAUAUAUAUAUAUAUAUAUAUAUAUAUACACACACACACACACACACAAACAUACUGUCUUUUCCAGAGUAUUUCAAAAUGGGACUGGAGAGAUGGUACACACACACACACACACACACACACUCAUAAAUAAAAAAGUGUUUAAGUGCAAACAAUUCAUAGAAGUCUGAAAAUUCUGUGAGUAUUCACAGGACCCGCAGUGGGGCAAAGGUCAGUUUUAGCAGGAUAGAAGUCAACAGCCAUGACGGAAAGAAUUGACAUCUAACUGUAUAAAAGUGUAAAAUUCCUAUAGAUCAAAGAUGCUGUGGAGAGCCUGGAUCAUGGCUCAGGUUUUAGAGGGCACGUCUAGCAUGCAUGAAGCCAGGGUUUGGUCCCCAGCACUGCAUCAACAGGGGAUGGUAGCUUGUGCCUAUAAGCCCAGCACUGGGAAGAGAGAAACAGGAAGGUCUGUAGUUCAGGAUCCUCCACUUCACAGUGAGCGUCACAGCCUGGGACAGAUGAGCUGGAGAGACUGAACUCCCCUAUAAACCCUCAGUGAUGUGCUUCCCACAGGUAGGCGGGAUUACAGGUGGGGGGGGGUGGACAGCUCUUCCCUCACUCCCAUGUCCCAGUGCAAUCAUCAAUUAUCAUUCACAGCAAGGGAAGGGUGGCUCAGAAGGCAGAGCCCAGAGAACCAAACUGUGAUGACCUCUGCUCCCGCCAUUAUACAAUCCCCUCCCACACCAAACAGGGCUGAUGUGGGUACCAACAGAGCUAGCUGCAGCAAUGACAGGGUCAUGAAUAAGUCAAGAGAGUGUGGUAGCUUCCAGCAUCACACCCUUAAAUUACCCCAUUGGGCAGCCAAGUAGGCAUUGCAUCCCAGGUUUGAAGACUCUGGAAAGCUGCGAUGGUUGCUCUCCGUAGGGAACUGUCGGAGGUGGACUUGGAAAUGUGGACUGUCUGGUUUCAUGGCAGACUGGGAACGAAGCUCAGUCAGUGCUUGCCUGUGUAUGAAGCCUUGAGUUGGAUCCCUAGCAGGACAUAAACCAGGUAAGGCAGCGUAAGUCCCAGCACUCAGGAGGUGGAGGCACGAAAAUCACAAGUUCAAGGUCACCCUUAGCUAUAUAGUAUUCACUAUAGAAUUCAAAGUCAGCAUGGGCCGUGUAAUAGUCUCAACAAGACAAACGAGAAAGGAUUACACAGCGAGGGAUGGAAGUUGCUGGAGAAGUGAGUGGCUGAGGUUUGUGGCUAGUGGCCUGUGAGGAGUUAUCUUAGAGCAGGGCUCUCAACCUUCCAAAUGCUGUGACCCUUAAAUACAGCUCCUCAUGUUGUGCUGACCCCAACCAUAAAAUGAUCUCAUUGCUACUUCAUGACUGUAAUUUAGCUGCUGUUAGGGAUGGUAAUGUAAACACCUGACAUGCAGGAUAUCUGAUAGCCAACCCCUGGGAAAGGGUCCUUCGACCCCAACGGGUUUCAGCCCACAUGUUGAGAACCACUGUCUUAGACAUUGAUCCUCCAGCCCCAGUCAAGCCUUCACUGACAGGAGUGAUAACCCCAACCUGAGAGACUCCAGUAAGACCAUUGCGUCCCACUGCUCCCGAAUUCCUAACCCCCCCCCCCAAAACUGUGAAGUCAGAAAAGUUUGGUGUUCAUAAUACUAACCCCCAGGGCCACUUACUCCACAGUGGUUGCCUCAGAAGAUCUCCACACAAUGGGGUACCCCUUACAGAGUUACUGCUUACUCCCCCGUGGGCAGGAAGUCAACCAAAGUCAAAAGCCGAGCAUCAAAAGCAGGUGACUCGCCAGGUGUGCUGGCACACACUUUUAAUCCCAGCACAGGGAGCCCAGGCACGUGGAUCUCUGCAAGUUCGAGGCCAGCCUGACGUACACAACAAGUUUCAGAUCAGCCAGAGCUUUACGAUGAGAUCCUGUUUCAAAAGAAUAAAAUCAGGGCGAGCACCUCCUGUUCCACACCAAGCGCAAACAUCAAUUUUUGGUACUCUAGUCGAAAAUAUGUAACUGAGGUACGCACGUAAGAAGGCAUGGGGGAAGGAGGCAAAGCAAGUGGGAAUUCUAUAAAAGAAAAGGCUAGUGGGCUGGAGAGAUGGCUCAGGGGUUAAGAGCACUGAUUGCUCUUCCAGAGGUCCUGAGUUCAAUUCCCAGCAACCACAUGGUGGCUCACAACCAUCUGCAAUGAGAUCUGGCGCCCUCUUCUGGUGUGUGUGAAGAGAGUGACAGUGUACUCACAUACAUUAAAUAAAUAAAUAAAUAAAUAAAUAAAUAAGGCCAGGAUUGGGAAAGGUAACAACAGAGGACUGUCCAGAUUAAGGGAGAGGAAGAGAUGGGAGAGCGCAGUGCAUCAUGGGAGCUCUGGCAAGCAGCAAAGCCAGACACUGAAAGCUUCAGUGUGCAUACAUUAGCUAGAGAGCUGCGUUGCUGCUGCUGGCCUUGUUGAAUUCCAUAAGCACACUGGGACUCCACAGCACGUCCACACCACAGGAAACCAGGCGAGAACACUUGGGAACAUUCUGGCGCUGUCUCUGGCACUUUCUUUAGUUAAUGAAAAAUUAAUAUUCAGAAAUAGAAGUAGCGUGCUCUCAUCAAAAACUUAACUAAUUCACCAUCAGCAACUUUAAGGAAAAAAAAAACCUAAAAGAGGCGCUUUGAACAGAAUGAAAACAAUCUUAGUGGAGAACCUAGACAGGCAGAAAGCAACAAUGAGUAGGAAGAGGGCAGAGCUGGCCAGGUGGCUCAGAGGGUAAAGAAGCAUGCCAGCAAGCCCGAGGUCACAGGUUCGAUGCUCAGGACCCAUGUCUCAGAAGCAGAGAACACAUUUUCGUUCUUCAUUCUCUCUCUCUCUCUCUCUCUCUCUCUCUCUCUCUCUCUCUCUCUCUCUCUUUCUCCCCCCCCCCCAAAUAAAUUGAAACAGAAGCAGGAGGAUUGAGCUAUCCUGAGCUACACAGUAAUACCUGGUUACCUGGUUACAAACUCAUACAGAAGAAAAGGUUGAGGGAAAAGGAGGAAGAGGGAAAGGGGGAUGAGGGAGAGAAAGGAGAGACAGAAACGCAGAU